AGGAAAAUCCACUGGAAUAUUCAGCGAUUUUGUAUUUUACUUUUGUAACGAGUUAUUUCCGAAACUUCUGGAUUAAUUUACAUGCGAUGUUUUGCAUAACGGUUCGAGUUGUCCAGAGAAAGUUUAAAACUUUUGAAAUCCUCGAUCUGACCAUUAGAAGCAGUAGACUGUUAGGUUACUGCAGGUUACUGCAGUAGUUUGGGCUG